AAAGGGUGUGUAGGCGGGCUGUUAAGUCAGUGGUGAAAUCUCCGGGCUCAACCCGGAAACUGCCAUUGAUACUAUCAGUCUUGAAUAUUGUUGAGGUGGGCGGAAUAUGUCAUGUAGCGGUGAAAUGCAUAGAGAUGACAUAGAACACCGAUUGCGAAGGCAGCUCACUAAACAUGUAUUGACGCUGAGGCACGAAAGCGUGGGGAUCAAACAGGAUUAGAUACCCGUGU
rnacentral:rRNA from 1 species